UACGUAGGGGGCAAGCGUUGUCCGGAUUUAUUGGGCGUAAAGCGCGCGCAGGCGGUCUGCCAAGUUCGGAGUGACAGUUUCCGGCUUAACCGGAAAAGGUCUUCGAAAACUGGUGGACUUGAGGACUUGAGAGGGAGACGGAAUUCCGGGUGUAGCGGUGGAAUGCGUAGAGAUCCGGAAGAACACCGGUGGCGAAGGCGGCCCGCUGGGCAACUGCUGACACUGAUGCGCGACAGCGUGGGGAGCAAACAGG
rnacentral:rRNA from 1 species